UACAGAGGGUGCGAGCGUUAAUCGGAAUUACUGGGCGUAAAGCGUGCGUAGACGGUUAUUUAAGUCGGGUGUGAAAGCCCCGGGCUCAACCUGGGAAUUGCAUUCGAGACUGAAUAGCUAGGGUACGGUAGAGGGAAGUGGAAUUUCCGGUGUAGCGGUGAAAUGCGUAGAUAUCGGAAGGAACACCGGUGGCGAAGGCGGCAUCCUGGACCGGUAUUGACGCUGAUGCGCGAAAGCCAGGGGAGCAAACGGG
rnacentral:rRNA from 1 species